rnacentral:lncRNA from 1 species
CAGCAGCAGCAGCAGCAGGUGCUCCUUGAGCGUGUACCAGUGGCCCCACCCGAGGUGGGACACCUCGGGCACGCCGGGCUCCGCGCCGCCGCCGCCGCCGCCACCGCCGCCGCCGCGGCUCUCCCCGCUGCCGCCGCGCGACGAGGGGCCCCCGCUCCGCUGGUGGUAGGGCGGCGGCUGCGGCGGCUGAUGCUGCUGCUCCCGGAACGUGAUGCGGUGCUCCUUGCCCGUCUCGAUCUGGAUGGAUUCCGACGGCGGCGGCUGCGGCGGCGGCGCCUGGAUUACCUGCGCCGGCUGCGCCUUGGGCGCCGCGGCGGCGGCGGCGGCGCGGGAGGGCACCUCCUGGAUGUCCUUGGGCGGCUUGCCGGGGUGCUUGGGCGGCGCGACGGCGGUGGCGAGGUGGAGCACGGGGGUCGCCACGGCGACCCCUCGCCGCCGGCGGCGGCGGCGUGA